CGGCUGGGGGCUUUAUUAGGGGGCACCGGGGUCUGCUUUCCGACUCCCUUCCGACUCCGCGCCUGCGCAGGAAGCGAUUUGGGGAGUGUUGUGAAUUCCGAGGGCUCCACACUUAAGAGGUUGUACACUCACCUGUCUACCUGGACUCCAAUUUCCAUAUUUCCAGCCACUUGAGGACUGAGAGGUGGAUGAUAAACCCUGUCAUAGUGGAGCAAGUUCAGGUGUUUAACCGCUGUUAUGGGGGAUCUGCCUUUUCUCCCUCUUCUUUCUUACUUCCAUAAGUAUGUAUGUGCAGAGAUUGAAAAAUAACCUUGAGAGAGUCCAUCCAUCUAACUCCAGGUAGAGGAGAACGUCGCAGAGAAAAAGGGAAGGAAAAUACACCUUUGGAUUGUUGGCAUGCAUUUGCACACAGAGGAAAGACCAAAAAAGGAUAAAACACACCAAAGUUUGUUCAAUCCAGCCAGUCCCCAGCAAAGCCCUAAAAUAAUGAAUUUAUUUUCUGGAAACAUUGCAGCGUUAUAAGAGAAAUUAUAGACUAUUUGUUGAAGCUCAGCAUGUCCAUCUCCCUGCUUUGAAGAAGGAUGUUGGGAACUGACUGUAAGGAAGACAGGAUUGGAGAACCAGGUUUAGAAGAGAAAAGGCAGUGCCAGAAGUUUUUGAUUGGAGAAAACUACAGGGUAAUGUUGCACAAGAACCAUUGCUGGACCGCCACAUGAUGCUGCUGGAGAGACAGCGGGAAAAGCAGAGCCGGAGCUCAGGACUGCAUCAUUGCUUACCCAACAUGACUCAGCCUCGGUAUUGCCACUGACUCACGGAGCUCCUAAUAGAGGAGAAUUAGUGUCACAGAUCGACUGGAAAACCAAUCCACAUGAAGCCAGGAAGAGAAAUGAAGCUGCUGUUGCUGAAUCCAUAGCUGGCCUUAAUGAUGCUGGCUAGGAAAGACGGCCCAUUCUGGGGGAGAUAAGUCAAUUUUGCAGUGUCUGUUAUUAUCAUAGUGACUAUUGUCUUCCUGUUUUAUAUUUAUUUACCUAAAUUGUUUUGGAAAGACUCAGAGGUAUAGAGACAUGCCUACUUUUUGCAAAAAUCAUCACACUGUCAUGGAGGUAGUCCAGGCUAUGGGGCUCUUAUUUGUUGGUGUCUUGGGCAAGUUGCUUGACCUCUGAUCAUUGUUUGCUUAUUCUUAUAUGGCCCCUGUAUUUCAGACUCACUCUGUGUCAGGCAUUUGUUUACCUUUGUAGCAAGCUCAGGAGGAAAAUACCAUUGCCCUUGUUUUACAGGUGAUGAAACUGUACGUUUUCCAAGGACACAGUGCUAGUAAGUAAUGAAUGUGAAAUUUUAACUGUUUCAAUCUCUUCUCAGAGCCAGUGCUAACUACUCUCCUAAACUUCCUCUCAUCUGUAAAAUAUGGAUGAUAAUAACACCUCUUACAGAGUUGUUGUACAUAUUAAAUAAUAGAACUGUGAAA
rnacentral:lncRNA from 1 species